rnacentral:misc_RNA from 1 species
AGUAUGUCAGCUUCCAGUCAAUAGACAUUCGCAUCCACUUUUGCUGGAAUCAGAAUUCUUGAGAUAUCAAGAACCCACAAAAAAAAAGAAAGAAAAUAUCAAGACUUAAAUUGAUUAGGCCUACAUAUUCACUUUCCCAAUUAAGCCAUUAUAUUAUAUCAAAGCUGACGAGGUGGCACAUGGGUGAGGUAGAGUUUGGAUCGAAUUAUUUUGAGUUGUAGGUUUACUCGGAUAUUUCAACGAAUUGAUAUGAGAAAAUUUGGAUUAAUUUGUUAAUUGUGGUUGUUCUGUGUUAAAUAUUAAUUUUUGUAAAAAAAAUUAAUUUUAUUUAUUUAUUUUUCAUAUAAAUAUUUAGAUUGAUCAUGUCAAUCAAAUUAGUUAGGUAAUCCAUGAAUUGUAA